ensembl:lncRNA
GUUUCAUCGAUGAGAAAAUGCGCAGAAUGCCGGCCAAAAUCCAUCUCGUUUCAUCUUCUCCCACUGCCGGCCACUGGGCUUCCUCUCACUACCAUAUUUGGCCAUCUAAAACUACCUCCACAAAUGGCAUGACGCGAACCCGUGACAGAGGAGAGAUGAGCACCUAUCAGAUCCUCCUGCUGUCCUUCACCCCUCGAUGCAGUCUGCUGACCAUCGUUAAUGCCAGGAUGAAGUCCGCCAGCCGAAGUAGGAGCCAUGUUCAUCAC